rnacentral:rRNA from 1 species
GAUGAACGCUAGCGGCGGGCAUAAUACAUGCAAGUCGAACGGGAUAAGUUGUAGCAAUACGACUUUGAGAGUGGCGCACGGGUGCGUAACACGUAUGCAACUUGCCCUUAACAGGGGGAUAGCUUUCGGAAACGAAAAUUAAUACCCCAUAUUAUUACUUAUAUGCAUGUAUGAGUAAUGAAAGCUCCGGCGGUUAAGGAUGGGCAUGCGGCUGAUUAGCUAGUUGGCGAGGUAAAGGAUCACCAAGGCGACGAUCAGUAGGGGGUCUGCGAGGAUGUCCCCCCACACUGGUACUGAGACACGGACCAGACUCCUACGGGAGGCAGCAGUAGGGAAUAUUGGUCAAUGGAGGCAACUCUGAACCAGCCACGCCGCGUGCAGGAUGAAGGCCCUCUGGGUUGUAAACUGCUUUUGUUAGGGAAAAAACCCCUCGAUGCGUUGAGGGUUGAUGGUACCUAAAGAAUAAGGAUCGGCUAACUCCGUGCCAGCAGCCGCAGUAACAC